rnacentral:lncRNA from 1 species
GCAACUCUGCAGGGAAGAAUAUAGGGAAAUAAACGCCUUCAUCUCUCUCUUGUCCCACCCGCAGAGCUCCUUCUGGGAUUCUCUAUUGGCUGAACUCAGCCAGAAGCUGCCAAGGGAGACCCCCACAACUGGAUGCAGCCCACUGAAGUCAGCUUCCUGGGGUGCGUAGCUGAAGGUAGCAGGGAGCAAAAAGAAUCUGAAGGGGAAGUGAACAAUGUAGAGCGUAUCUGUGCUGAAGACGUAAGGAGAGAGUGGAGGUCAGAAGCUGGCAUGGUCCCUGGUGCAUGUAUCAGCCGCUAAAGCUGGAGUGGAUGAAUCAGAACUUUCCCCAUGGGAGCAUUUAUAAAAAGGGGACACCCAGCGCAGAAGAUGUUUUCCAGGGAGAUCUCGGGGAGCCCAACAAGCCAAGAAGAGCAGAGCAAAGCAUUCCAAGGAAGGACUCUAAGUCUGCAACCGAGCACACACGAGGAAAUCACUGCACGGUGGACAAAGAUAUAUGCAUAAGGAUGCUCCUUCUGGCCAAAGACCAAAAACAUAACUGGCCAUCAGUAAAAGCCAACACAAGGAAAGACCAUGUGAAUACACAGCAAGAACGUGGUGCUCUGCAAGUCAGAAACAGACCCGUCAUCAGACACCAAAUCAGCCAGCACCUUGAUCUAGGAUUUCUGGCCUCCAAAACAGUGAGAAAAUAAAAUUCUGUUGUUUAAGCCAUGCAGCCUGUUGUAUUUCA